GAGGGGAUGUGUAACCAGCAAGAACUGCUAACUCUUGCAUCUGAGUCUAAACCCUCAGUCCCCUUA
rnacentral:tRNA from 2 species